rnacentral:rRNA from 1 species
AAUGAACGCUGGCGGCGUGCUUAACACAUGCAAGUCGUACGAGAAAUCUUUGGGCUUGCUCGAAGAGAGUAAAGUGGCGCACGGGUGAGUAACGCGUGGGUAAUUUGCCUUCAAAUCGGGGAUAACGUGCCGAAAGGCGUGCUAAUACCGAAUAACAUCUUUAAAACUUCGGUUUUGAAGAUCAAAGGUGGCCUCUAUUUAUAUGCUACUGUUUGAAGAUGAGCCCGCGUACCAUUAGCUAGUUGGUAGGGUAAAGGCCUACCAAGGCUGCGAUGGUUAGCUGGUCUGAGAGGAUGAUCAGCCACACUGGAACUGACACACGGUCCAGACUCCUACGGGUGGCAG